rnacentral:lncRNA from 1 species
AGAGAAAAGAAUCAAGAAAAAGACAAGCCUGAGAAGGAAUAAUUUCAAUAAAGGGGAGAGUGGUACAGAGAGUGAAGAGAAUUUUAAUCAAAUCCAGGGAAACAUGAUGGAAAAGAAAAACAAGAGAGGGGCAGAUGACAAAAAAUCAUGGAAAGAAAGAGAGGAAAAGAUGGCUGAAUGAAACAAAAGACAUAUUGAUGCAUGGAGCAAAAGUAGUCCUGGAGAUACAAUUGUCAUAAUUUUAAUUGCUCAUGUGUAAAAAAUGAAGUGAGCAAGACAUGGUAAGGUUGCAAUUUGAAUCCAUCAAAAAUAGGAGUUAGUGUUCUUGCAACAAAGCAAAACUGGGAUCGUCCCAGCUAGGACUUGCCUCCCCAGCCCACAUCCAAGUUCAAAGUUACUCGACCUGCUUAUCUGUUGAGAUCUAGACAUUCUCAUGACUAAGUUAAAUAUCUCAUUCCAGGUGUAGGUAGCCGAGAGUAGGUAGUUAAGAAUAACCAUAUUCAGAAUGUGGAGAUAGGAUGUAUUUCAACAUUCCUGCUUUUGAAAUGUACUAUUUUAAUUACUAAAAAAAUUGUCUAAACCUAUUCAAUUAAUCUCUGAUCAAAACUGAAUGCCUUUCCAUUAUGUCCAAAUGCUCUCCUGUCUAACAACAACAACCCUCUUUCUAAUUUAAGAACUGGUAAUAUUCCCUCCUGGAUAAUUGUUUGUACAUAUCCUCUGGUGUAAUCAAAAUAUAUGUGUAAUAUAUAUGUCGAGGAAUUUUUAUUGUUGAUCUUCUGUUUUCUCACUCAUCUCCCCUUUCUCCAAAUCUCCUUUUCUUCCCCCUCUGAUUGCAACAGCUUCUGUCUUCUAUCUAUUCUCAGGUUGCCCCCAUAUUUCCCUUCUGACUUUGUUGUGUCUUGGCUUAGUCAGCCAGACUCCCACUAAACUUUCAGAGCUGGAAUCAGAAGAGCACAUUUGGCAAAAAGUCAGUCACACAUACCACACAACCACAAACAAGCACUCUGACUGCAAAAUCCUUUCAACAAUACAUUCCGGUUUCUGGCAGUCAGCAGUUCGCACAGACCCAUGAUCUGAAAUAAGCAACAUA